AAUGAACGCUGGCGGCAUGCCUAACACAUGCAAGUCGAACGAAGGCUUCGGCCUUAGUGGCGCACGGGUGCGUAACGCGUGGGAAUCUGCCCUUGGGUUCGGAAUAACAGUUAGAAAUGACUGCUAAUACCGGAUGAUGUCGUAAGACCAAAGAUUUAUCGCCCAAGGAUGAGCCCGCGUAGGAUUAGCUAGUUGGUGGGGUAAAGGCCUACCAAGGCGACGAUCCUUAGCUGGUCUGAGAAGAUGAUCAGCCACACUGGGACUGAGACACGGCCCAGACUCCUACGGGAGGCAGCAGUGGGGAAUAUUGGACAAUGGGCGAAAGCCUGAUCCAGCAAUGCCGCGUGAGUGAUGAAGGCCUUAGGGUUGUAAAGCUCUUUUACCCGGGAUGAUAAUGACAGUACCGGGAGAAUAAGCUCCGGCUAACUUCGUG
rnacentral:rRNA from 1 species